AUUGAACGCUGGCGGCAGGCCUAACACAUGCAAGUCGAACGAGUGGCGGACGGGUGAGUAAUGUCUGGGAAACUGCACGAUGGAGGGGGAUAACUACUGGAAACGGUAGCUAAUACCGCAUACCAUCGGAUGUGCCCAGAUGGGAUUAGCGUGUAGGUGAGGUAACGGCUCACCUAGGCGACGAUCCCUAGCUGGUCUGAGAGGAUGACCAGCGAAAGUGGAAAUGAGAGAGGGUCCAGACGCCGACGGUAGGCAGCAGUGGGGAAUAUUGCACAAUGGGCGCAAGCCUGAUGCAUGCAUGCCGCGUGUAUGAAGAAGGCCUUCGGGGUGUAAAGUACUUGCAGCGGGGAGGCGUUACCCGCAGAAGAAGCACCGGCUAACUCCGUGCCAGCAGCCGCGGUAAUAC
rnacentral:rRNA from 1 species